rnacentral:rRNA from 1 species
UCGAACGCUCGUGGCAACACGGGAGUGGCGGACGGGUGAGUAACGCGUGGGAACGUGCCUCAAGGUACGGAAUAACUGCGGGAAACUGCAGCUAAUACCGUAUGCGCCCCUUACGGGGGAAAGAUUUAUCGCCUUGGGAGCGGCCCGCGUCGGAUUAGCUAGUUGGUGGGGUAACGGCCUACCAAGGCUUCGAUCCGUAGCUGGUCUGAGAGGACGAUCAGCCACACUGGGACUGAGACACGGCCCAGACUCCUACGGGAGGCAGCAGUGGGGAAUCUUGCGCAAUGGGGGCAACCCUGACGCAGCCAUGCCGCGUGAACGAUGAAGG